rnacentral:rRNA from 1 species
CCUACGGGAGGCAGCAGUGAGGAAUAUUGGUCAAUGGACGAAAGUCUGAACCAGCAAAGUCGCGUGAAGGAUGACUGCCCUAUGGUUUGUAAACUUCUUUUAUAUGGGAGUAAAAUGUUCCACGUGUGGGAUUUUGUAUGUACCCUAUGAAUAAGGAUCGGCUAACUCCGUGCCAGCGGCCGCGGUAAUACGGAGGAUCCGCGCGUUGUCCGGAUUUAUUGGGUUUAAAGGGAGCGUAGGUGUGUGGUUAAGUCAGUUGUGAAAGUUUGCGGCUCAACCGUAAAAUUGCAGUUGAAACUGGCAGUCUUGAGUACAGUAGAGGUGGGCGGAAUUCGGGGUGUAGCGGUGAAAUGCUUAGAUAUAACGAAGAACUCCGAUUGCGAAGGCAGCUCACUGGACUGCAACUGACACUGAGGCUCGAAAGUGUGGGUAUCAAACAGGAUUAGAUACCCGAGUAGUC